UGGGGAAUAUUGGACAAUGGGCGAAAGCCUGAUCCAGCCAUGCCGCGUGUGUGAAGAAGGUCUUCGGAUUGUAAAGCACUUUAAGUUGGGAGGAAGGGCAGUUACCUAAUACGUGAUUGUUUUGACGUUACCGACAGAAUAAGCACCGGCUAACUCUGUGCCAGCAGCCGCGGUAAUACAGAGGGUGCAAGCGUUAAUCGGAAUUACUGGGCGUAAAGCGCGCGUAGGUGGUUUGUUAAGUUGGAUGUGAAAUCCCCGGGCUCAACCUGGGAACUGCAUUCAAAACUGACUGACUAGAGUAUGGUAGAGGGUGGUGGAAUUUCCUGUGUAGCGGUGAAAUGCGUAGAUAUAGGAAGGAGCACCAGUGGCGAAGGCGACCACCUGGACUAAUACUGACACUGAGGUGCGAAAGCGUGGGGAGCAAACA
rnacentral:rRNA from 1 species